UACGGAGGGUGCAAGCGUUAUCCGGAUUUACUGGGUUUAAAGGGUGCGCAGGCGGAUAUGUAAGUCAGUGGUGAAAUCUCCGGGCUUAACCCGGAAACUGCCGUUGAUACUAUCUGUCUUGAAUAUCGUGGAGGUAAGCGGAAUAUGUCAUGUAGCGGUGAAAUGCUUAGAUAUGACAUAGAACACCCAUUGCGAAGGCAGCUUACUACACGAUCAUUGACGCUGAGGCACGAAAGCGUGGGGAGCAAACAGG
rnacentral:rRNA from 1 species